CUUAGGUUAGCUGAAAAUGACUUCAAGAAGCCGGUUACUUGUUGAACUAGCACGUAAAAAAAUUUUUUUGGACUUGGAUGAUUGUAUAUCUAGUUAUGUAUCAGAUACAGAACCUGAAAGUUGUUGCGAUUCUGAUAAGAUUACCUGUUGAUGUUUUUUAAACGGCGAGGGUGGUUAAAACAAGAAGUGACGACUAUUUGCCAACUAAAAGAGUCCAAAAAGAUUGUAAUAACGUCACUGUAAAGAAAAAACAAAUUACUAAAAAAGGUUGGACAGCAGAAGAAGUACAAAUGGUUAAAAAUCAUUUUAAAAGUUUUUUAGAUCAAAAUACUUACUUAUAAAAAUAAAUAAAUUUCAACGAAGUAUUCCAGUUGUUAAAUCAAAAAUACAGCAUCUAUUUAGAUUAAAGAAUAAAUAACUAAGUUUGUCUUGUGUAUUUCAAAUUCUUAUUUUUAAAAAGCAUGUUUUGUCGGACUGGGGAGACAUUUUUAGGGAUCCUCCUGUCGAUUCAUUUUUAAGUGAGAAAACCUUAGA